rnacentral:rRNA from 1 species
CCUACGGGAGGCAGCAGUGAGGAAUAUUGGUCAAUGGGCGCGAGCCUGAACCAGCCAAGUCGCGUGAGGGAGGACGGCCCUACGGGUUGUAAACCUCUUUUGCCGGGGAGCAACGGGCGUCACGUGUGGCGCCACUGAGAGUACCCGGAGAAAAGGCAUCGGCUAACUCCGUGCCAGCAGCCGCGGUAAUACGGAGGAUGCGAGCGUUAUCCGGUUUUAUUGGGUUUAAGGGGUGCGUAGGCGGUUCGUUAAGUCAGCGGUAAAAUUGGGGGGCUAAACCCCUUCCCGCCAUUGAAACUGGCGCUCUUGAGUGGAAGAGAAGUAUGCGGAAUGCGUGGUGUAGCGGUGAAAUGCAUAGAUAUCACGCAGAACCCCGAUUGCGAAGGCAGCAUGCCGGCUUCCGACUGACGCUGAAGCACGAAAGCGUGGGGAUCGAACAGGAUUAGAUACCCGAGUAGUC